rnacentral:rRNA from 1 species
AAGGUACUCAAGAGCACACAAUGGAUGCCUAGACGUAUAUUACCGAAGAAGGACGCGGAAGACUGCGAAAAGUCUCGGGGAGCUGUCAACAAGCUUUGAUCCGGGAAUGUCCGAAUGGGGAAACCCAGUACGAGUCAUGUCGUAUUAUCUGUCUCUGAAUAUAUAGGAGAUUUGACGGGAACCAACUGAACUGAAACAUCUUAGUAGGUUGAGGAAGAGAAAAUAAAUAAUGAUUCCGGGAGUAGUGGCGAGCGAAACUGGAUCAGCCCAAACCUUUUACAUUUUUGCCUGGUAAUUUAUUACCGGCGCAAAUAAGUUUUCAGACGAAUAUGUAUAAGGGGUUGUGAGAUUACACAAGAACAGGUCAGAGCACUAAAGUUUACUUUAGUGAAUCUGACUUGCGACCACGAACUGAAAAUAGUGGGUAAGGUAAAAAAAUUACAUCGUUAGCGGAAUAGUUUGAAUGACUAACCAAAGAACGUGAAAGUCGCGUAUGCGAAAACGAUGUUGACCUUAUCUGUGUUUUUCUCGAGUAGGACGGGGCACGAGAAACCCUGUUUGAAUCCGGCAGGACCACCUGCCAAGGCUAAAUAUAAUAUACGAUCGAUAGUGAACUAGUACCGUGAGGGAAAGGUGAAAAGAACCCCGGGAGGGGAGUGAAAUAGAUCCUGAAAUUGUGUGCUUACAAUGUGUCGGAGCGGAUUUAUUCCGUGACGGCGUGCUUUUUGUAGAACGAUCCAGCGAGUUAAUUUCCAGUGCAAGGUUAAGUCAAUUGACGGAGCCACAGUGAAAGCGAGCCUGAAUAGGGCGUUGGCACCUUCGCACUGAGCAAAAUACUCUGUGGACGCAUAGCGCUGAUUUUGGCAAAGUGAAAUCCGUUCAACGUAUAUAUCUAUACGUUUCACGAAUUUCGCAAAGCCAAAAUCUAGCGAUCUGUGCCCACAGAUGCAUUUUGUCCAGCGUGAAGGUGCCGAAAGUACUAGGAAUUAGACCCGAAACCGGGUGACCUAACCAUGAGCAGGCUGAAGCUACUGUAACAGGUAGUGAAGGGCCGAACCGUCGCAAGCAGCAAAUUGCUCGGAUGACUUGUGGUUAGAGGUGAAAUGCCAAUCGAACUCGGAGAUAGCUGGUUCUCCUCGAAAUAGCUUUAGGGCUAGCGUCAAGUAAUUAGCCAACGGGGGUAGAGCUCUGUAAAGGAAUAAGGUUCGCAAGAAUACUUAUCCUUAACAAACUACGAAUACCGUUGGUGGUAUCUUGGCAGUCAGAACGUCGGGGCUAAGCUCGGCGCUCAAAAGGGAAACAGCCCAGACCAUCAUCUAAGGUCCCCAAAUAUAUACUCAGUGGGAAACAAAGUGGAAUUUCUUAAACAGCUAGGAUGUUGGCUUAGAAGCAGCCAUUCAUUUAAAGAGUGCGUAACAGCUCACUAGUCAAGAGAUUCUGCGUGGAAAAUGUAACGGGGCUAAAGUAUAUUACCGAAGAUAUGGAUGUGAUGUAAUUUAUUACACACGUGGUAGAGGAGCGUUCCCGUCAGCAGUGAAGUUCAACUGGAAAGUUGGGUGGAGCGGCGGGAAGUGAGAAUGCUGGAAUGAGUAACCAUAAGACAGGUGAGAAUCCUGUCGGCCGUAAGAGCAAGGUUUCCUGAGCCAUGGUAAUCAUCUCNNNNNNNNNNNCAUAGCGUAGGCGAUGGACAUCAGGUUAAUAUUCCUGAACCGGUUAUAAUUUGUAUACAGUUUACAGUGGAAUAAUCAAAGCGAAUUCAUGGUAUGUAUUCGUCCAACCUAGCGGGAACGCAAAGGGAGUGAAAGUGAUUCUUCGGAGUCGCGAUUUUGAUCAAGGCACUGGCUAGAAAAGCUGGUAUACGCGUGGUUAUAGCCGCCCGUACCGCAAACCAACACAGGUGCUCGAGUCGAGUAGACUCAGGCUUACGAGAGAACCUUCGCUAAGGAACUCGGCAAUAAAGCGACCGUAACUUCGGGAUAAGGUCUGCCCCCACAUCAUUCGAUGUGAGCCGUGUUCAACUAACUUGGUGAAAGGUGGUUGAAAAUAGAUAAAUUUGAGUACGCAGUAUGUUUAGCGAUAGAUAUAUUGUGUCAAAACCUUUUUAAAAUCACAAUUUUUUACUGAGAUAGACAAAUCAUAAUAGUAAUAUUAAUGAUCUUUUGAGCACGACCUCUCGCAUCUAACGAUGUGGGGGCCGCAGCUAAAGAUUCCACGGAACUGUUUACCAAAAACACAGGUCUCUGCUAAUUCGAAAGAAGAUGUAUAGGGGCUGACUCCUGCCCAGUGCUGGUAGGUUAAGGGGAGCGCUUUACGGUGCGAACUGAAGCCCCAGUGAACGGCGGCGGUAACUAUAACCGUCCUAAGGUAGCGAAAUUCCUUGUCAGGUAAGUUCUGACCCGCACNNNNNNNNNNNNNNNNNNACCCCAUGGAGCUUUACUACAGCUUUACAUUGAUUCGGGUUACAACAUGUGUAGAAUAGGUGGGAGCCUUUGAAGCAGAUACGCAAGUAUUUGUGGAGGCACCAAGUGAAAUACCACCCUUGUUGUGAUCUUAAUCUUACCGUUACCAUUAUCUGGUAACGGGACCGUGUAUGGUGGGUAGUUUAACUGGGGCGGUUGCCUCCUAAAGAGUAGCGGAGGCGUUCAAAGGUUGGCUAGUUUCGUAUGGAAAUCGAAACGAUAGUGUAUGCGCAUAAGCCAGCUUGACUGUGAGGGGUACAUCCCAAACAGAUACGAAAGUAGGAGCAAGUGACCCGCUAUAUAGUACAUUUAUGUACAUGAACGUGGGAUCGAUAGCGCACACGGAUAAAAGUUACCCUGGGGAUAACAGGCUUAUAGCGCCCAAUAGUUCACAUAGACGGCGCUGUUUGGCACCUCGAUGUCGGCUCAUCACAUCCUGGAGGGGGAGCACCUUCCAAGGGUUCGGCUGUUCGCCGAUUAAAGUGGUACGCGAGCUGGGUUCAGAACGUCGUGAGACAGUUCGGUUUAUAUCCGGUACGGACGUUAGGAAAUUUGAGAAGAUCCACCCUUAGUACGAGAGGACCGGGGCGGACGAACCUCUGGUGUAUCGAUUGUGGCCACCUGCUGCAUUGUCGAGUAGCUACGUUCGGAAUAGAUAAGCGCUGAAAGCAUAUUAAGCACGAAACUAACUUCAAGAUAAGAUUUCCCUAUGAGGACACUGAAAGAAUAUCAGUUUGAUAGGCGCAAGGUGUAAGCAUGGCAACAUGUGUAGCUGAAGCGUACUAAUAGUCCCAUCGCCUUUUUAUG